rnacentral:rRNA from 1 species
GACGAACGCUGGCGGCGUGCUUAAUACAUGCCAGUCGAACGGUGAACCUCUUCGCUGGGGACCAGUGGCUAACGGGCGGACAAGACGGUGACACCUUGCCCCCGGCCCUGGGAUAAUUGCAAGAAAUUGGGGCAACUACGCUAAUUCCACCUCAUCUCUCAAGGCGGGUGGUGGAAAGGUCUAGCGGCUGGGGGUGGGCCCGCGGCCUAGGAGCUAGUUGGUGUGGUAGUGGCAUACCAAGGAGACGACGGGUAGCCGGCCUGGGAGGGUGACCGGCGACAAUGCGACUGCGAGACGGCCCAGACUCCUACGGGAGGCAGCGGUGGGGAAUAUUGCGCAAUGGGCGGAAGCCUGACGCAGCGACGCCGCGUGGGGGAUGACGGCCUUCGGGUUGUAAACCUCUUUCAGCAGGGACGAAGCGCAAGUGACGGUACCUGCAGAAGAAGCACCGGCCAACUACGUG